CCGUUUUNNNCCUGGUUAGAUUGCCCUUGAGUUGAUCAUGGCUCAGAUUGAACGCUGGCGGCAUGCCUUACACAUGCAAGUCGAGCGGCAGCGCGGGGGCAACCCUGGCGGCGAGCGGCGUACGGGUGAGUAAUGCAUCGGAACGUGUCCUCUUGUGGGGGAUAACCAGUCGAAAGACUGGCUAAUACCGCAUGAGAUCGCAAGAUGAAAGCAGGGGACCCGCAAGGGCCUUGCGCGAGAGGAGCGGCCGAUGCCCGAUUAGCUAGUUGGCGGGGUAAAAGCCCACCAAGGCGACGAUCGGUAGCUGGUCUGAGAGGACGACCAGCCACACUGGGACUGAGACACGGCCCAGACUCCUACGGGAGGCAGCAGUGGGGAAUUUUGGACAAUGGGGGCAACCCUGAUCCAGCCAUGCCGCGUGUGUGAAGAAGGCCUUCGGGUUGUAAAGCACUUUCGGACGGAACGAAAUCGCGCGAUCUAAUAAGCCGCGUGGAUGACGGUACCGUAAGAAGAAGCACCGGCUAACUACGUGCCAGCAGCCGCGGUAAUACGUAGGGUGCGAGCGUUAAUCGGAAUUACUGGGCGUGAAGUGUGCGCAGGCGGCCGCGCAAGUCGAGUGUGAAAGCCCCGGGCUUAACUUGGGAAUUGCGCUCGAAACUACGUGGCUGGAGUGUGGCAGAGGAAGGUGGAAUUCCACGUGUAGCGGUGAAAUGCGUAGAGAUGUGGAGGAACACCAAUGGCGAAGGCAGCCUUCUGGGCCNACACUGACGCUCAUGCAC
rnacentral:rRNA from 1 species